GCCUUGCGGUUAUAGUUUUCAGGGCCUUGUUGAAGACCCGCAGGACAGUUUUUGGGAGCUCCUCUGGGGUGAGGGGCUG
rnacentral:snRNA from 1 species